AAGAUGGUACUCUCUUUUCACUCUUGAAUCCGGCAAAUUCCCAAGCUUGAAGUCUGAGGGGAUAAAUUGCAUUCACUCAAGUGUCCUCGGCUUUGUAAGGUAAUGGAAUCUGAUCAGGUCUGUGAAGUUCAUGGCGGGUCCUACGCACAUUAAUCAGCACGGAAUUAGGGGAGAGACGAAAGUUCCAAAUGCUCAUCAAGAGAUUUUGGAGAGUGUUUUGGGUGGAUUCAUCAAGCAAGAUAUUCAGGAAAAGCAAAGAACGUCUUAGGUAUUGCGACAGUGAAGCCCAUCAGGAGCUGCAGACACAUCGGAGGGGCUCUGUCUCUGUUUUUCUUCUGGUUGAUGUGCAUUUUCGAGAGAACUUGUCUGCCUGUAGGAAACGUCCGCGUAUUUGAGUUAAUUGAUGGGCAUGAUAUUGUGUUCGAAGUCUCCAUUUUGAGUGGUUCCAGUAAGGGCUUGAUUUACAUUGUUUGAAGUGAGUACUCGAAGUGUCACUUUAGGUUGGUUAUAGCGUGACUUGACUUCUGGGUUUACAAUUAUGCCUCCCUUAUUUGGUU